GGGCCAUUAGCUCAAUUGGCAGAGCAGGACACUCUUAAUGUCAAGGUCGGUGGUUCGACUCCACCAUGGCCCACCA
rnacentral:tRNA from 1 species